rnacentral:rRNA from 1 species
CAGCCGCCGCGGGAAUACGUAGGGUGCAAGCGUUAAUCGGAAUUACUGGGCGUAAAGCGUGCGCAGGCGGUCCGCUAAGACAGAUGUGAAAUCCCCGGGCUUAACCUGGGAACUGCAUUUGUGACUGGCGGGCUAGAGUAUGGCAGAGGGGGGAAGAAUUCCACGUGUAGCAGUGAAAUGCGUAGAGAUGUGGAGGAAUACCGAUGGCGAAGGCAGCCCCCUGGGUCAAUACUGACGCUCAUGCACGAAAGCGUGGGGAGCAAACAGGAUUAGAGACCCGUGUAGUCCCUGUCUCUUAUAA